AAAGGGUGCGUAGGCGGUUUAUUAAGUCAGUGGUGAAAGACGGUCGCUCAACGAUUGCAGUGCCAUUGAUACUGGUAGACUUGAGUGGGAUUGAGGUAGCUGGAAUGGAUAGUGUAGCGGUGAAAUGCAUAGAUAUUAUCCAGAACACCAAUUGCGUAGGCAAGUUACUAAGUCUCAACUGACGCUGAUGCACGAAAGUGUGGGUAUCAAACAGGAUUAGAUACCCGAGU
rnacentral:rRNA from 1 species